ACGGGAGGCAGCAGUGGGGAAUAUUGGACAAUGGGCGCAAGCCUGAUCCAGCAAUGCCGCGUGAGUGAUGAAGGCCUUCGGGUUGUAAAGCUCUUUCGCACGCGACGAUGAUGACGGUAGCGUGAGAAGAAGCCCCGGCUAACUUCGUGCCAGCAGCCGCGGUAAUACGAAGGGGGCUAGCGUUGUUCGGAAUUACUGGGCGUAAAGGGCGCGUAGGCGGUGUGUCAAGUCAGGCGUGAAAGCCCCGGGCUCAACCUGGGAACCGCGCUUGAGACUGGCACGCUCGAGUUCGGGAGAGGAUGGUGGAAUUCCCAGUGUAGAGGUGAAAUUCGUAGAUAUUGGGAAGAACACCGAUGGCGAAGGCAGCCAUCUGGACCGACACUGACGCUGAGGCGCGAAAGCGUGGGGAGCAAACAGGAUUAGAUACCCUGGUA
rnacentral:rRNA from 1 species